UACGGAGGGGGCUAGCGUUGUUCGGAAUUACUGGGCGUAAAGCGCACGUAGGCGGCUUGGUAAGUUAGAGGUGAAAGCCUGGAGCUCAACUCCAGAAUUGCCUUUAAGACUGCCGAGCUAGCAGGUGAGAGAGGUGAGUGGAAUUCCGAGUGUAGAGGUGAAAUUCGUAGAUAUUCGGAAGAGCACCAGUGGCGAAGGCGGCUCACUGGCUCAUACUGGACGCUGAGGUGCGAAAGCGUGGGGAGCAAACAGG
rnacentral:rRNA from 1 species